UAAUUCAGCCUAUAUACCGCCAUCUUCAGCAAACCUUUAAAAAGAAUAAAAGUAAGCAAGAGCAUACCCGUAAAAACGUUAGGUCAAGGUGUAGCCUAUGGGAUGGGAAGUAAUGGGCUACAUUUUCUUGACAAGAACAUUCACGAUACCCUUUAUGAAAUUAAAGGACAAAGGAGGAUUUAGUAGUAAAUUAAGAAUAGAGAGCUUAAUUGAAUAGAGCAAUGAAGUACGUACACACCGCCCGUCACCCUCCUCAAAUUAGACUGCCGAUAUUAUACCUAAUACUUAUUAAUAAGCCUAUGAGAGGAGACAAGUCGUAACAAGGUAAGCAUACUGGAAAGUGUGCUUGGAUUACCAUAACGUAGCUUAAAUACAAUAAAGCAUCUGGUCUACACCCAGAAGAUUCCUAACUCACCGGACAUUAUGAACUAGCUCUAGCCCUAUGAACUAAAUAAUUAAACUAUUUUUAUUAAUAAAUCAAACCAUUUAACUAUUAAAGUAUCGGAGAGAGAAACUUUACCUAAAGGAGCUAUAGAGACAGUACCGUAAGGGAAAGAUGAAAGAUAAGCUAAAGUAAAAAAAAGCAAAGAUUAAACCUUUUACCUUUUGCAUAAUGAACUAACUAGAACAAUUCUAGCUAAGAGAACUGAAGCUAGAAACCCCGAAACCAAACGAGCUACCUAAG
rnacentral:rRNA from 1 species